GGAGCUUGCUCCCCGCUGACGAGCGGCGGACGGGUGAGUAAUGCAUAGGAAACUGCCCAGUAGUGGGGGAUAGCCCGGGGAAACCCGGAUUAAUACCGCAUACGUCCUUCGGGAGAAAGCAGGGGCUCUUCGGACCUUGCGCUAUUGGAUGUGCCUAUGUCGGAUUAGCUAGUUGGUGGGGUAAGAGCCUACCAAGGCGACGAUCCGUAGCUGGUCUGAGAGGAUGAUCAGCCACAUCGGGACUGAGACACGGCCCGAACUCCUACGGGAGGCAGCAGUGGGGAAUAUUGGACAAUGGGGGCAACCCUGAUCCAGCCAUGCCGCGUGUGUGAAGAAGGCUUUCGGGUUGUAAAGCACUUUCAGUGAGGAGGAAAAGUGGGUCCCUAAUACGGGCUCGCCUUGACGUUACUCACAGAAGAAGCACCGGCUAACUCCGUGCCAGCUGCC
rnacentral:rRNA from 1 species